GCCCAACAUUGGUUGCUUCAUCAUACUUCGUUUCUUACUCGGACUCACCGUGCCUGCGUCAGUGGCCACUCCAGCUGCAUUAGCUCAAGAAUUAGUUGGCACGAAGUGGCGAGGACGAAAUUUGCACUUGAUUUAUUUAUACCGCAGCCUUGGUGGAGUUUUGCUUGCCGGGUCCGUAUUUGUAAUCAGAGACUGGCCACAGAUCGCUUUGGCCUCCACUGUACCUUUUGUUGCCUUCUUCUUGUACUGGUGGGUGCUUCCAGAGUCUCCGCAGUGGCUGCUGGCAAGAGGGAGAUUCGAAGAGACGAUACGGCUAGUCCGCACCAUAGCUUCCAACAACAACAGAGAUCUCACGCCGGAUUUCAUUGUUGCCACAAAGAGGAAAUUUGUUUUGGAGAGAAGCUUACGAGAGCACAAAAAUGAACCCAAAACACAGAAGGAAGCAACAAAAGAACUUUUCAGAGCUCAAGGACUUCGGAAAAGAACUAUUGUGCUCAUAUUUAGCUGGUUUACGAGCACGGCUUCUUUCCUGGGCCUUAAUUACUUGUGCAUCGAGUUAGAAGGGGAUGUGCAUUACAAUGUGCU